CAGCCCCUCGAGUGGUGGGGAUGAUUAUUUGGCCUAAAGCGUCCGUAGCCGGCUUUGUAAAUCUCUCGUUAAAUCCAGCGUCCUAAGCGUUGGGCUGCGAGAGACACUGCAGAGCUAGAGGGUGGGAGAGGUCAGCGGUAUUCCUGGGGUAGGGGCGAAAUCCAUUGAUCCCAGGAGGACCACCAGUGGCGAAGGCUGCUGUCCAGAACACGCCUGACGGUCAGGGACGAAAGCUGGGGUAGCGAAUCGGAUUAGAUACCCGAGUAGUCC
rnacentral:rRNA from 1 species